rnacentral:rRNA from 1 species
UACCAGCACCCCGAGUGGUCGGGACGUUUAUUGGGCCUAAAGCAUCCGUAGCCGGUUCUACAAGUCUUCCGUUAAAUCCAACUGCUUAACAGGUGGGCUGCGGAAGAUACUAUAGAGCUAGGAGGCGGGAGAGGCAAGCGGUACUCGAUGGGUAGGGGUAAAAUCCGUUGAUCCAUUGAAGGCCACCAGUGGCGAAGGCGGCUUGCCAGAACGCGCUCGACGGUGAGGGAUGAAAGCUGGGGGAGCAAACCGGG